GUCUUCCCUCUCAGUGCCGGAAUGGAGCCAAGACAAGGGAAUAAAAGAAAUUAAAUAGUACAAGGAGAUCGGGUGUCUGAGCAGCGUCUUGGAUAAUACCGUCCACUACAGGAAGUCCACUUCUUGGAAACCUGGAUGAGAUUAAAAGGGCACAAAUCUGUUGACAGAGAUGCAGUUAGAAGACUAUGGCAACAGUUCAAGCCAAAGAACCCCUAAAGGAAAAAGACCUCAUCUUAAUAAUCUCUGGAUAGCACCUGCUAGAUAGGAAAAAAAUCACAUGGAAUGAAGGUAUACACACAGAAAUCACACCCUGAAGAUUUUUCCUGUUUAGUUCUAAGCCCUGACCAUGAUGAAGUUUCUGGAAACGAUGACAAAAGAGAAGCUCUUCUGAAGCAAAUGUCUUGAUCUUCCACCUACCAAUCCAUCCUAUCCAAUGUUACCAAAUAAAAUUUCAACUAACCCUCUGA